GUGCUAUACAUGCAGUCGAACGAACUCUGGUAUUGAUUGGUGCUUGCAUCAUGAUUUACAUUUGAGUGAGUGGCGAACUGGUGAGUAACACGUGGGAAACCUGCCCAGAAGCGGGGGAUAACACCUGGAAACAGAUGCUAAUACCGCAUAACAACUUGGACCGCAUGGUCCGAGUUUGAAAGAUGGCUUCGGCUAUCACUUUUGGAUGGUCCCGCGGCGUAUUAGCUAGAUGGUGGGGUAACGGCUCACCAUGGCAAUGAUACGUAGCCGACCUGAGAGGGUAAUCGGCCACAUUGGGACUGAGACACGGCCCAAACUCCUACGGGAGGCAGCAGUAGGGAAUCUUCCACAAUGGACGAAAGUCUGAUGGAGCAACGCCGCGUGAGUGAAGAAGGGUUUCGGCUCGUAAAACUCUGUUGUUAAAGAAGAACAUAUCUGAGAGUAACUGUUCAGGUAUUGACGGUAUUUAACCAGAAAGCCACGGCUAACUACGUGCCAGCAGCCGCGGUAAUACGUAGGUGGCAAGCGUUGUCCGGAUUUAUUGGGCGUAAAGCGAGCGCAGGCGGUUUUUUAAGUCUGAUGUGAAAGCCUUCGGCUCAACCGAAGAAGUGCAUCGGAAACUGGGAAACUUGAGUGCAGAAGAGGACAGUGGAACUCCAUGUGUAGCGGUGAAAUGCGUAGAUAUAUGGAAGAACACCAGUGGCGAAGGCGGCUGUCUGGUCUGUAACUGACGCUGAGGCUCGAAAGUAUGGGUAGCAAACAGGAUUAGAUACCCUGGUAGUCCAUACCGUAAACGAUGAAUGCUAAGUGUUGGAGGGUUUCCGCCCUUCAGUGCUGCAGCU
rnacentral:rRNA from 1 species